rnacentral:rRNA from 1 species
AGUUGAUCAUGGCUCAGAUUGAACGCUGGCGGCAGGCCUAACACAUGCAAGUCGAGCGGUAGCACAAGAGAGCUUGCUCUCUGGGUGACGAGCGGCGGACGGGUGAGUAAUGUCUGGGAAACUGCCUGAUGGCGGGGGAUAACUAGUGGAAACGGUAGCUAAUACCGCAUAACGUCGCAAGACCAAAGUGGGGGACCUUCGGGCCUCACGCCAUCAGAUGUGCCCAGGUGGGAUUAGCUGGUAGGUGGGGUAACGGCUCACCUAGGCGACGAUCCCUAGCUGGUCUGAGAGGAUGACCAGCCACACUGGAACUGAGACACGGUCCAGACUCCUACGGGAGGCAGCAGUGGGGAAUAUUGCACAAUGGGCGCAAGCCUGAUGCAGCCAUGCCGCGUG